rnacentral:rRNA from 1 species
UACAGAGGGCUCAAGCGUUGUCCGGAUUCAUUGGGCGUAAAGGGUGUGUAGGCGGCGCGCUAAGUCGGGUGUGAAAUUUCGGAGCUUAACUCCGAAACUGCAUUCGAUACUGGCGUGCUUGAGGACUGGAGAGGAGACUGGAAUUCAUGGUGUAGCAGUGAAAUGCGUAGAGAUCAUGAGGAAGACCAGUGGCGAAGGCAGGUCUCUGGACAGUUCCUGACGCUGAGACACGAAGGCCAGGGGAGCAAACGGG